rnacentral:rRNA from 1 species
CCUACGGGUGGCAGCAGUGAGGAAUAUUGGUCAAUGGACGAGAGUCUGAACCAGCCAAGUAGCGUGAAGGAUGACUGCCCUAUGGGUUGUAAACUUCUUUUAUAAAGGAAUAAAACGAGGCACGGGUGCCUUUUUGCAUGUACUUUAUGAAUAAGGAUCGGCUAACUCCGUGCAAGCAGCCGCGGUAAUACGGAGGAUCCGAGCGUUAUCCGGAUUUAUUGGGGUUAAAGGGAGCGUAGAUGGGUUGUUAAGUCAGUUAUGAAAGUUUGCGGCUCAACCGUAAAAUUGCAAUUGAUACUGGCAGUCUUGAGUACAGUUGAGGUAGGCGGAAUUCGUGGUGUAGCGGUGAAAUGCUUAGAUAUCACGAAGAACCCCGAUUGCGAAGGCAGCUUACUAAACUGUGACUGACAUUGAUGCUCGAAAGUGUGGGUAUCAAACAGGAUUAGAUACCCUUGUAGUC